GAGAGGACCAACACAAUGGCACUGAUCCUCAAGUGAGCACACCAGAUGCUGGAGCACUCCUGGGAAGAGAAACAGAAAGAGGAGGAGGAAGGGUGCCAAAAACAAUGUCUUAUUUGGCCAUUUUUCCCUUGACCCUAAUGCUAGAAAGGAAGGAGAGAGGGAAGCUUAAAUAAUUUAUAAAAUCCUGGUGAAUUGUCAAUUAAGUAAAUCCUUUUUAAAAUUUUGUUUUCUUUUAUCUUCUUUUGUUUCUUUUCUAUUAUUUAGUCCUUUAUUACCUGCACUACACAGAUGUAAAAGUAGGUAACUUUUGAAUUAAACUAUACAGUGUGUGAUCCACGGAAAACUUACAUCAUGCUACAUUCACCUGCAAGUUUUUGGCAAAUGUGAAUUUAUUAGUCAUUGAAAUAAGCCAGAAAAAAUGAAACAUACUGGUUUUGUCUUAAGCUUCCCUAGCCCUUCUCUCUCCUUGGUUCAAAUGAGUCACUGACCUGCUCUAGUACACAUCUUGGAAUCUUCGUAACUUCAUAACUUUAUCUUUUGUGAGUUCUUUCAUGCCUGGUUUGAAACUAAGGAAGUGGAAGCAGGGAAGAUAGAAGUGGAAAAUAAUGGAAUUGCUGGAAGAAAAGAAAACUAAGAGAAGAGUCACUUACCAGGACCCAUCAUUCCUUUUACAUUACUGUCUCCUACAUGAACAGAUCUGGACUCUUGGGCUGCAGAGAAAGGAAAGCAUUCAUUCAGCGUUCAUUCCACUAACAUGGACUAAGCACCUUCCACGAGCCUGGCACUGGGGGCAGACUCAGAGAUUGUAGUUUCAUGGGGGAGGCAGAGCAGUAAAAAAAAGAAAUUACAGUAUAGUGUGGCAAGUGCUAUUUUCUCAGCUGUAAAAAGAUAUAAUAGUGGUACUUACCUCAAGGAUUACAAUAAGAAAUAAAUAAGUUAGUAUUUGUAAACUGCUUGAAGUUC
rnacentral:lncRNA from 10 species